UAUAUAGUUGAGAUAGAAUACUAUCGAUAGCAAACGAGCUUCGUUGCCGCCCAUUUGUUUUUGAUGAUGAAGCCUUCAAAUCGACGAUUGACAUAGUUGAACAUGAUCUAUACCGCUUGAAGUGUUUAGAAAUCAAAUUUCAUAUAUUUCCAAUAUUGUUUUCUUAUCCAUCGAGUGGACACAAAAAUGAACGAUUGAAAAUAAAUUUUCUUUAAAAAAUGAUGAUAUGUAAUAACCGAGAUUUCUAGUAAUAAAAAUUAAACCCUUUGUUGACAAUGUUUUUAUGUGUAAUAUAAUUACAUAAGCACUCAUCAAAUUUUAGGUGAAAACGAGUUAAGAUGGAGAAGUUAUACGACUUGAACAGAUAACUUAAAGUGAAUAGUAACUCCGGCUUUCCGGAGAAGCCAGUGAGUAGAAGACGGUUCUGGUGCGCAUUGGACUCCGAUCAUAGCGCUCCAAUAGCUCGUUUCGAACGGUUCGACCAUUCUGGACCCAAUGACACUGACGAAAUUGGAUUCUGAUGCACGGUUGUCGAGAAAAAGGGGUUUGAUUGGUUUCACAUGUAGUAAUAUAAGUGGCUACAUAGUGAAAACAAAAGAGGGAUGGUUUUGACGCAAAUCGAAAACCAAAUCGGAUAAAGUAAGAUGCUAGAUUCGAUGCCCCAGUCGUGCUGAACGCGCUGGGGCAAUCCGUUCGGAAAUCCGAUGGACGGAUCUUCGAAAAUCGUGAAAAGUCCGCUGAGAGGUCAAUUUGGCAAAAUCAAUUAAUCGCAAAAGGACCCUAUAUUUUAUGCGCCGUUUCACGAGAUUUCGAAUGUCGAGGGGCUGGCAUGCAAGUUACACAUGCGGGCAGGGGCAGGAUUAUAAUUAUUUGACUUUGAAGGGGUUCCUCGCAAAAUGACACCUUGUAUAAAAGUGGCGUCUAGGGUUUUCCAUGGUUCUUUGGCUGCCUACGUUCACCUAGCUAACCCUAGCCGCCCCACCUACACCUUGCCCUGCCUAUACGCACACCCGGACUGCCGGUGAGCAGCUACGGCCGCCGGAAAAGCCACCCCGGCCUCCCAUCAACUCCUCGUUAGACCCACCUCGCCACCAGCUCAGUUGUUGUGCUCGGGGAGGCAUCAAAGCCCGAGCUUCAACAUCCCCUGGCUGAGGCCCAUCCCUAGCGCCGUCCCCGCCGGCCUCCGCCGUCCCCGCGCGCCGUCGGAGCCACCCUAGCUCCCUACGGCUAGCUGCAGUCACCCAGGCUGAGUCUAGGUGAUCUCUGCCUUCGCGCGCCGCCGCUGCUCCCCGCCGCCGCUCCCCGCCGGCCGCGCCGCCCUCGCAUCUCUGGCGACCUCCCGCUCGCCAUCCCGGCCAUCCCCGUGGACCGCCGGCCGCCGCUUGUGCACCUUGCAGCCGCCCUGGGUUGGUGCGGGCCGAGGCCGAGUCACCACGACCACCGUGCGUCGCCGCCGCCCGCUGCGGGGCGCACCGCUUUUCCAUCAGCCUUCGCCGACGGAUCGCAGUCGCCCCGAGCUCCUCCGGCUGCCACCUCGCCACCAAGAGCCCUUGAACCCAAAAGCUAUUGGCGGAAUUGAUCUCCUCCGCCGCGCCACUGGUUGCCUCCCGUUGCCGACCGGCGCCUGCCCCGGACCCCUCCGACUGGCCGCACCAUUCCCCGACCCGAACGCCCGUCGUCCGACCGCCGGCGACCAUCCUAGCUCCCUCGGGUCUGGUAAGCAGUAAAUUAGUCUAUAGCGUACUGUUUGAGGGUUCCGGUCACCUUUCCGGUGAUCCAAUGACUCCCCGACACCCCGAAAAGUGAGCACGAUGAUCUAUGAUUCGUGCUGAACAUCGUGCCCACCUCCGACAAGGACAGAGAUGCCCUGGAUUGUGCAUUAAUGGCAAUCUUACCGUUGUGCGCGCUGUUUCACUGAGUUUCGUGUCGCUCGUGCGCGUGCCACAGUGGCCGGCAGUUCUCCAAAAGGUGAGCAUGGCCUCCGGCACGCUGAAACCUAUCAGCGAGCGUGACGGUUUGCCGAAUCUAUCUCUGGUUUGUGUGCACAGUCCAGAAAAGCCUAGAAAUCACAUAAAAUGAUGUGAUUUCAUAUAUCGGUAAGGGCUUUUAGGGUUUUUGCUUCGAUGUAGCUGAUGUUGGCAGCAAGGGUAGGCUGAGAAUAACCUCUGGACUGAUCGUCCAAGGCCCCAAUCCUUUGCGAAAAUCGAAAAGUGAUUUUCGGGGCGUUUUUCGGCGAAAUCCGCCAAUAGAACACGUCUUCGAUUCAGAAUUCAUCCGACGGCGCCUCGUGGUUGAUUGUAGUGUCACUAAGCCUUGUUGGCUUGUCACCCGUGUCGUUUCGAGGGUCCAGAAACGACGGCUGAGCGACGGCGGAUUCCGGUGCCGAAAUAGACACUUCCGGAAACCCGAAUCGGAACGAUUAUCGACGAUAAUCGUUCCGCAUCGUGGUAGCGUCUUUGCUGCCUUGUCACACUAAAAUAGGUGUUUAGCGGCAGCGAGCAACUCAUAUGAUGAGUUGGGUAGUUCCGGGACGGUUCGUGGGUCCCGGCGGAGUCCCGGUGCAGUUUUUUUGUAACUUCUGGUGAGUUCGGCAAUCGGUUUUGGGAAACCGAUUCCCGAGGGGCUAUGAUUGUGGGAUUGUGAGUUAGCGAUAUGUGUUAGUGGGUUAGGUUCUAACCCGGUGGACUUUUCGUAGGUUCGGUUGCACCGUCUUCACAGUCGAUAGAUUUUCGUCAGACACGUACAGGUGGGUACUUCGAUCCGACGUCGGUACAGUGGUGCACGCUCGGUGACGUUUCCUUUACCCUUGUUGUUUAUAUCAUUUACCUUAUACAUGUUGAGCCUUGCACCCAUGCUAUUUCCUUAUUUACUCUACUUAGUUGUUUCCAGGUAUAGUAUCAUGUGUAGGAGUGGAGUAGACUUUAUCUGUAUAUGAUAUCUGUGACCUGGUCGGUCGGUUCUCCUAUUUGCAUCUGUGACCUGGUUGGUCGGUUCUCCUAUUUGCAUCUAUGAUUUGGUUGGUCUGUUCUCCUAUAUGAUCUCCAUGACCUGGUUGGUAGACGUUGCAUCUCCUAUACUUAUGACCUAGUUGGUUGAUUUGAUUACAUGAUGACCCAUGUGGUUGGUGUGCCCUGGGGGGCAGGAUUGUCGGCUGGUUGCCGACGGUUGAUCAUUGAGCAUAUUGCAUUGAUCGCCCGAUACUCGUCGCAUUUCACGAACACUGGCAGUCUGAUCCACCGCAAGAGGUGUUCUUUUCCGAAAAAGUGGUUGCAGGUGUCAACCCGUGAGCCCUAGAGGGGUUAUAUGCAUGGUAGAGUAGUAGUGGCACUGGCUUAAGGUUUGCGGUGCGGACCAAGAGAGCAUUGGUUUCAGAUUAGGUACUUUUGGACUGAUUGUCCCGUUGAUGCAUGCAUACAAUAGCUGUAGUGGUUUAUCUAUACACAUUUCAUUACUUGUUUAUCUUAGCUACUGUACUACCAUUAUCCAUAUCCUUGUUUAUCUCCGUGACUAGUGAGUACCCCUCGCCCUCGUCGGCUUGCGGUACCCACUGGGAGGGGAGAUAUGUUUACAUAUUCUCACCCCCCGCCCCUAUUACAGGUGACGUCGCAGGUCCGAGUGGGACAGCUGGUGAGGAGCGUGUCUAGCGUACGAUAGAGCUCCGUCCCGUGUCGGUUAUUCCUUUACCCUUCAUGCUUGAAUAAAUAACUUAGACAUAUUAUGGUUCAGUUUUGUUAUAUUAUUUGAAUAUCCGAGUUUUCAGUUGGAUUUAUGAUGUAAUAAAAAGGAUUUGUGGAUUUCAAAUGUUGAAUGAUUUUCUACCCCUCGUGGUAGCGUUUCUAAAAGAUAAAAGUUCCCGUGUAGGGAACAGUUUUUAAAAGGGUUUUCUAUGGAUUUGGUAUCUUAGUAUUUCAAAACCUGUUUCUGGGUUGGAAACGUUUUAACUGAUAGAUGUAGAUUUAUGUUUAAAUAUUGAAUGUAUAACUGUGAUGUGAAUGGUGAAUGAAUGAUCGUAUAGUUGUUUCUAUAUUCAUUUAGUUGUGAUUGUUUCCUGUUUACUUGUUGUACUUGUGCGACGCCGUGCAAAUAUAGGGGAGACUCUAUCUGUGUGACCAGUGAACUUUCUGUAUUUGUGGCAGAUCUGGCAUACCCUGGGGUCAGAUCUUUAAAAAAAAAAAUUUCUAGCUAUUUUCGCUGUGUUUUCAAACAAAAUGGACCCCGGGGCGUGACAUGAUAGGAGUUUUGUAAUUAAGAUCAAGAGUAUAGAUCUUGUUUUAAAUAGUUUAAAGAAUUUUCUAAAAAAAAUUUAAUUGAUUUGGAUAUCUUUACGCCGUUAAACGAGAAAAUGCUCAUAUCGACCAUUAAAAUUACAAAUUUUGAAACCCUUUGAUCAUUAGGCAAAUGAUGUCGAAAGAUUUGAAAUUUGAUUUCUAAACACUUCAAGUGGUACAGAUCAUGUUCAACGGUGCCGAUCAUCGAUUUGGAGGCUCAAUCAUCGAAAACAAAUGGGUGGCAACGAAGUCCGUUUGCUAUCGAUAGUAUUCUAGCUCAACUCUC
rnacentral:lncRNA from 1 species